UACGUAGGUGGCGAGCGUUGUCCGGAUUUACUGGGCGUAAAGGGAGCGUAGGCGGAUUUUUAAGUGAGAUGUGAAAUACUCUGGCUUAACCAGAGUGCUGCCUUUCAUACUGGAAGUCUAGAGUGCAGAAGAGGAGAAGGGAAUUCCUAGUGUAGCGGUGAAAUGCGUAGAGAUUAGGAAGAACACCAGUUGCGAAGGCGCUUCUCUGGACUGUAACUGACGCUGAGGCUCGAAAGCGUGGGGAGCGAACAGG
rnacentral:rRNA from 1 species